AAGGACAGCAGCAGCCACGGUAACACAGAGGGUGCGAGCGUUAAUCGGAUUUACUGGGCGUAAAGCGUGCGUAGGCGGCUUUUUAAGUCGGAUGUGAAAUCCCUGAGCUUAACUUAGGAAUUGCAUUCGAUACUGGGAAGCUAGAGUAUGGGAGAGGAUGGUAGAAUUCCAGGUGUAGCGGUGAAAUGCGUAGAGAUCUGGAGGAAUACCGAUGGCGAAGGCAGCCAUCUGGCCUAAUACUGACGCUGAGGUACGAAAGCAUGGGGAGCAAACAGGAUUAGAUACCCCCGUAGUCCCUGUCUCUUAUAC
rnacentral:rRNA from 1 species